GGCCAGGGCCAAGGGGGGGCCUGGGCUCUGGACUGGGGGGAGCCUGGCUCUGGACUGGGGGGGCUGGCUCUGAGCUGGGGGCGCGCCCGUGGGGCAUGUGCAGGGUGAGGCCGGUUUUCUCCCUUCUUUUGAAAGUUGGGGGGAGGGAGAAUGGGGAGGAGACGGGGCAGGAUUCCCACUGCUGGUGUACCCUCACAUGCCAACAGCGCGGCGGGGCCAGGAGCCGGGCGCCCCAUCCGGGCCUCCCGCGGGGGCGGCAGGGCCCACUCUGCCGUGCAGGUGCAGGAAGCUGGAGGCAGAGGCGGACUCCAGCCGGGCACCCAACAGCCGUCCCGGGGCCAUUCUGAACCUCCGAGAAAGGGCCACAGGGCCUGUGCCCGCGGGCGCCGGGCAGGGGACGCGGAAACUGCGGGUGGCAGAGCCCCCCACGACCCGCCCCCUCCCUUCCGGCCGCGCGGGCACCGGGAGCCAGAGCCGUCCCGAGGAAGAAGGCGGCAGGCCCGGGCGUCCCGACAGCGCGGGGCCAUCCGCGGUGGGAGCCACGUGGGCACGGCCCCCUCCCUCGCGCGGACCCAGGAAACGGUUCCGCAGGGCGCGGGACGCACAAGCCAGCAAAGGAACGGCCCGGCGGGCUUCCUGACGAUCAAGCCUCCCUGCGGCUCCAUCCCGAGGGCGCCGAGGGGAGCGGCUCCCGGACCCCUGGGCCUUCCGGCUCCGCGAUCAGAAGGCGGCCCCCGCACUGCGGACCCGCCACCAGGCCGCACGCCUGAGUGGAGCGGGGUCUCACGGGCUCAGCCUGGCCGCGGCGGGCAUCUGGGGAGCGAGCCAGAGGAGGGAGCGCUCUCUGCCGCUCAAGUAAGAGUCCGAAGCUCAGCAUACAAUGGACGCCAGCCACCCACGCGGCCUCUCUGGUGAGGGGAACGUUAAUAGUGAAGAUUCAGUCACAAAGAAUGCGGGUGACAACCUUCCCCAGACAGCCCGCCCUGGUCUAACUUAUUUCGCGGUGCGCGAUGGUCCUGGGAUGCCCCCUGGGGCCUGCCCCUGCUGGCCAGGUUCUGGGACGUUUUUUGGUUACGAUGGGAUUGGGGGGUGGGUGCUCCCAGGUUCCGGGGAGCGCGGGAUCUGGACCCCAGCAGCGCUCGCUCACCCACACCCCGCCGCGGGGCCUCUUUCUUGGGCUCAGAGAACGUCACCCCGCCCCGCAGAGGGGGAACCCAAGCCAGUAACAGGUGCAGGACGGCCAAGGCCGGAAAUGAAGCAAUGACCGGGCAGCUCCCCCAGCUCAGUUCGUUUACGUCACAGCGUGCCAUCCCUGACCCGGCCGCUCCCUGGGACGCAGAGGCGGGGCUUUGCCCGUCCCACCCUGCCGGGCCACAGACAAGGCUUGGAGGAACGGCCGGCCACGCUCAGUGAGGCUGGGAGCAGCGGGGCGUCGGCUCCGCACCCUGGGGCUCCCCGCUCCCGACUCGCUGCACAGAGCUCGGGACAGGGACCCGGCUCCCAGCCCUGCAGCAGGUGCUCCCCCGGCAGAGGCCUGGCGCCCCGACACGUGAGGACAGGCACGCGUGCACACUCUGCUGGUGUAAAAGCGCCCACCCCCACCCGCGGGCCCACCCCCCUCCAGAUCCGCGGCUCCUGGAGUGGAAGCCGCCCACCAAGGGGACGCCCGUGAACCCACACGACAGGCGCCAGGGGUUAAAUGAGCCUUUAUUAGAAUGUUGUAGCAGGUGUUGGAAGAAGGCGGCCCUACAAAAUGAGGGUUUUAAAUUAAAGUCCCUAACUGCGUCCUUAGGGAAACCGGGGCUGGAACUGACCAGGGACCACGGCCCCGCCCUCCAGUGCCGAGGGGCCCCGCCCGCGGCGCACAGACGGCGGCGUCCGCCUCUCCUUUCGGAACUGAUUUGUAGCGAGUCGGAGGAAGGAACAGAAAGAAAAAUAAAACUAAAAGCAGACCUGAUCCUUAAAAAAAAAAAAAAAAAAAAAAAACGAAAACAGAAAA